UACUCGUUCAGAAUUCAGAUGCAGUGUUGGCGCGGCUAGCAGGCAACGGUGAUCCUGUGCGGCAAGGGACGAGCAAAGUUUGUGGGCAGCAGGAUGAAACAAUAGUGGCCUUGUGCACUGAUAGUAUUUUUGAAGGGACUGCACUGAUAUGAUAGUAUUGAUAUUGUGAUACGACGCCAGUACGCCACGAGAUAGAUUAAAAUCCAGAUAUCUGCAUCUUAAAAUCCAGAUAUCUGCAUCGUGGGUGUUGCCGUGCACCCUCUGAUUCUUUGAUUCUGUCAUCUAAAUUGUAAAAAGCGGCUACAUAUCCCUCCAUUUCUUUCCUCUCUGUACACUCGUAAGCAUCCAAAAUACAAAGGUUUGGCCUAUUGCGUUGUCAAAUUGAGAAAUUAGUCAACUCUACAAUUUGAAAUC
rnacentral:sRNA from 1 species